GGAAGGAAGCAGGGGAAGGAGAGUGUGUGGGUGCAGAAGUUGCCC
rnacentral:SRP_RNA from 1 species